GCGACGUCACAACCCGGAAGUAAUCCCUCUGCAGUGUUGUUGUCGCAGCAGAGCAGCUGAUUUUAGUGAGAAAAUCCCGAGCCUAUUGUCACAGACUCCACACAGCUGCUUCUGCCGCUGCUGCUGUUGUUGUUGUUGUUGUUGUUGUUGUUUACUCCCUGCAUCGACAUCAUGAACGUGACGCUCGCGGUGAAGCAGUACGUUUCCAAGAUGAUCGAGAACAGCGGCCCCGGAAUGAAGGUGCUGCUGAUGGACAAAGAGACGACCAGCAUUGUGAGUGUUGUUUACACUCAGUCAGAGAUCCUUCAGAAGGAAGUUUACCUCUUUGAACGCAUUGACUCUCAAAGCAGAGACAACAUGAAGCACCUGAAGGCCAUCUGCUUCCUGAGGCCCACCAAGGAGAAUGUGGAACAUCUGAUCCAGGAGCUGCGGAGACCAAAGUACAGCGUCUACUUCAUCUACUUCAGUAACGUGAUCAGUAAGAGUGAAAUCAAGGCUCUGGCUGAGGCUGAUGAGCAGGAGGUGGUGGCUGAAGUCCAGGAGUUCUAUGGAGACUUCAUUGCUGUGAAUCCUCACUUAUUCUCCCUCAACCUGCAGGGAGUCGCCAGGGGGCGGAGCUGGGAGCCCUCCAUGUUGGCGCGCUGCACUCAGGGUCUGACCUCCGUCCUGCUGGCUCUGAAGAAAUGUCCAAUGAUCCGCUACCAGCUGUCCUCAGACAUGUCCAAACGGCUUGCUGAGAGCGUCAAGCAAAUCAUAACGAAGGAAUACGAGCUGUUUGACUUCAGGAAGACGGAAGUUCCUCCUCUGCUUCUGAUCCUGGACCGCAGCGACGACGCCAUCACACCACUGCUCAACCAGUGGACCUACCAGGCGAUGGUUCACGAGCUGCUGGGUCUCAACAACAACAGAAUCGACCUCUCCAGGGUUCCAGGGAUCAGCAAAGACCUGAAGGAGGUGGUUCUUUCUGCAGAGAACGACGAGUUCUACGCCAACAACUUGUACCUGAACUUCGGAGAAAUCGGCACCAACAUUAAAAACCUGAUGGAAGAUUUCCAGAAGAAGAAACCAAAAGAACAACAGAAGCUGGAGUCCAUCACUGACAUGAAGGCCUUCGUAGAUAACUAUCCCCAGUUCAAGAAGAUGUCCGGCACCGUGUCCAAACACGUGACGGUGGUGGGGGAAUUGUCCCGGCUGGUGUCGGAGCGUCAGCUGAUGGAGGUCUCAGAGGUGGAGCAGGAGCUGUCCUGUCAGAACGACCACUCCAACGCCCAGCAGAGCCUCCGCCGCCUGCUGCAGAGUCCCCGCCUCUCUGAGCUGGACGCGGUGCGCCUGGUGAUGCUCUACGCUCUGCGCUACGAACGCCACAGCAGCAGCGUCCUGCCGGGCCUGAUGGAGGAGCUGAGCCGGAGGGGCGUGUCCGAGCGCCACCGCGGGAUGGUGAAGUCCAUGUUGGAGUACGGUGGGAAGAGAGUCAGAGGAAGUGACCUCGUCACCCCGACAGACGCCGUCGCCAAAACCAAGCAGUUCUUCAAAGGCCUCAAGGGCGUAGAGAACGUGUACACUCAGCAUCAGCCUCUGAUUCACGACACUCUGGAUCAGCUGAUCAAAGGUCGACUGAAGGACAGUCAGUUCCCUUACCUGGGGGCCAGUAGCCUGAGGGACAGGCCUCAGGACAUCGUGGUGUUUCUCAUCGGUGGAGCCACAUACGAAGAAGCGCUGACCGUUUACAACCUGAACCGCAGCACACCUGGAGUCCGCAUCGUCCUGGGAGGGAGCAGCAUCCACAACACCAGGAGCUUCCUGGAGGAAGUUAUGGCCACGGCGGGUCACAGCGGCGACAGAACGCAAGGAAGCGGUCGCCACAGCAACCGGCGCUGAGCUGAGAGCCCGGUUGAAAUGACAACGCUCCCUCUUCUGCGUUUAUGUUUCAGGUUCAGCCCACUUCGACCGAGCAUUACGGUUUCCGGGGCGGCGGCGCCAUGAACACCAAAUAUUCCUCUUCCAAAUUCAAGUAUUUCACAUUUUAAAGAUUUGAAAUAAGUGAAGAAAUAAGUAAGCUUCAUUUUGUUGGACCUAUUCAUUUUUGAUGACGCUGACGGGAGUGGGCGGGGCUUAGUGUGCUGAGGUCAAUAAAAAAUUCAUUAAAUAAUUAAAAUUC